GAUGAACGCUAGCGGCAGGCUUAAUACAUGCAAGUCGAGGGGCAGCAUGAAUGUAGCAAUACAUUUGAUGGCGACCGGCAAACGGGUGCGGAUCACGUACACAACCUUCCUAUAAGUGGGGAAUAGCCCAGAGAAAUUUGGAUUAAUACCCCGUAACAUAAUGAUGUGGCAUCACAUUAUUAUUAUAGCUUCGGCGCUUAUUGAUGGGUGUGCGGCUGAUUAGACAGUUGGAGGGGUAACGGCCCACCAAGUCUACGAUCAGUAGCUGAUGUGAGAGCAUGAUCAGCCACACGGGCACUGAGACACGGGCCCGACUCCUACGGGAGGCAGCAGUAAGGAAUAUUGGUCAAUGGACGCAAGUCUGAACCAGCCAUGCCGCGUGAAGGAUUAAGGUCCUCUGGAUUGUAAACUUCUUUUAUCUGGGACGAAAAAAGGCUAUUCUUAGUCACUUGACGGUACCAGAUGAAUAAGCACCGGCUAACUCCGUGCCAGCCGCCGCCGUAAGAC
rnacentral:rRNA from 1 species